CUGAUAUCGAUCAUGGUGAUCGUUUUGACCAAAAGAAGCAAUUCUAGAUGUUAAAUUUCAUCCUUAAAUUCUUUUCUCAGAUGUAUAGUUAGAUUUUUGGCUCUUCAUACAAAUAAUCUAUCAUGUAUCACUCAUAUUCAAUAUUUUGCACAUUCUGAUGUGAAAAUGAAAAACAUAAAAUAGACAAGCACACCCAUCU
rnacentral:lncRNA from 1 species